GUUUAAACACAGUUCCUCGUACGAUCAGCAAAGUUAACCAACGUCGAGCCUGGUCAGUACCGAGAUGGGUGACCGCUUGGGAACACCAGGUGCC